GGAUUAGAUACCCUGGUAGUCCACGCCGUAAACGAUGAGUGCUAGAUAUCGGAAGAAUUUCUUUCGGUUUCGAAGCUAACGCAUUAAGCACUCCGCCUGGGGAGUACGGUCGCAAGAUUAAAACUCAAAGGAAUUGACGGGGGCUCGCACAAGCGGUGGAGCAUGCGGUUUAAUUCGAUGUUACGCGAAAAACCUUACCAACCCUUGACAUGGUGGUCGCGGGAAGCAGAGAUGCAUCCCUUCAGUUCGGCUGGACCACACACAGGUGUUGCAUGGCUGUCGUCAGCUCGUGCCG
rnacentral:rRNA from 1 species